CUUAAGAGAGACGUCUAAAAUAAGACGAUUUUAAGACAUCAUAAAGACGUCUUUUAAUAAAGUCUCAAAGACGUCUCUUUUAAGACGUCUUAAAGAUGUCUUUUAGACAUGCGUGUUGUCUGGGUUACUCCUCCUUGGACACAUCAAAGGUUCGAGGAAACCAAUGCCUUUGAAAAUGAAAAUGAAGAUGAUUGGAACCUUCCAUUAAGACUUCAUGAAAUGCAAUCAAUUGUGUUUGCGACUAGAGAUAGAUGCGCACCGGGUCCUGACCUGAUCAAUAAUCCAUUAUUAAAAUGCCUUCCAAAAGAGGUUAUGGAAUGUUUGUUACUUAUAUUUAAUAGAAUAAUUGAUGACGGCUCAUUUCCAACAGAAUGGCUCAAUGUAGACAUUACGUUGAUUCCGAAACCAAGUAAUAAUGAUUUUAGACCGAUCUCACUAACCUCUAAUGUUCUCAAAAUAUAUGAAAAGUUGCUACUGAAAAGAUUCGAUAGAUUCAUUGAAGUUAAUAGAAUAUUGCCCAGAUGUCAGUUUGGUUUUAGAAGAGGUAGAGAGACUAUAAAGAGAGUGAAGCGGAUCGUGUUCCCUAUUCUGAUUGGUUCCGCCAUUUCCUGCUGAAUACUUCCGGAAUAUGCAUAUAUAUAUGUAUAUACAUAUAUAUACACAUCCAUACAAUACAAGUUGUGCAAGCGUGAAAUGCUUGUCAAAUUACGAAAGUCUCCGCGGUAUUAAUAUAAAUUAUAAAUAAUAGUGUAUAAUGUGAAAGACAUUCAAAUAUCUCCAGUAUUUAUAUACAAAAAAGAAAAUAAAUAUUAUAUAAGAUGACAGGUUGCGCAGCAAACAACUGCAAAAAUAAAAGCGAGUACGGAGUAAAAAUGUUUUGCUUUCCUUCAGACCCAUAUCGAAGAGCUGUAUGGAUAAAUAAAGUUGGGCAACAAAACUGGGUUUCAAAGAAACGUCCAGUAUUAUGUGAGCACAGGAUAUCGCGAUAUCCACCAGAUAUCCGAGGAAUAUCGCUAUAGGACAUCGCCGUAGGACAUCCAUAGGAUCACAAUAUGUCCAAUUGGAUAUCCGGAUGACCUGGGGAUAUUCUCAGGAUAAAGUGCUGUGUGGGAUAUAUCCAAAAGUAACGUUAUUAAUAAGAGAUAUUACGUAUAACAAAUUUGUGUUAUUAUUUAUUUUGUACAAUUAUUGUUAAUAAAUAGAAACAUCAUACAGUCACGUCUAAAUCUUUUAUGUGGAAUAAAAUACUUGUAUAAAUUUUACAAGCUAAAGCUAAAAUAAUAAAUCCAUAAAAGAUCCAGUUGCGACCGUUUAAGGCUUAUAUUUAUCAAUUCAAGUAUCAUUUUGCAAUAGAUGCAUUUGAGAAAGAACGAGUAGAUGGAACCAAAAAAUUAAAACAACAUGCAAUUCCAACCAUUUUUGGAAACCUUGUCAUUCAAAUAACGAAUCAACAGAAAAUACAAAAGAAAAAAAAAAUAGAAGCAAAUACUUCAGUAAUAGAACCAGUGACAGAAGCAGUAAAUGUAGAACCAUUGAUGGAAUCAGUAAAUGUAGUUCAACGUACUGAAGAAAAUGCUUAUUUUCCACAAGAGGCAAAUACUUCAGUAGUAGAACCAGUGACAGAAGCAGUAAAUGUAGAACCAUUGAUGGAAUCAGUAAAUGUAGUUCAACGUACUGAAGAAAAUGCUUAUUUUCCACAAGAGGCAAAUACUUCAGUAGUAGAACCAAUGACAGAAGCAGUAAAUGUAGAACCAUUGAUGGAAUCAGUAAAUGUAGUUCAACGUACUGAAGAAAAUGCUUAUUUUCCACAAGAGGCAAAUACUUCUACAUCGGCGACCGUCGUUACAUGCAAUGAAAAAAAUUCUAAAUGUGAAAAAAAAAGAA